rnacentral:rRNA from 1 species
UACGUAGGGUGCGAGCGUUGUCCGGAAUUACUGGGCGUAAAGGGCUCGUAGGCGGCCAACUAAGUCAGACGUGAAAUCCCUCGGCUUAACCGGGGAACUGCGUCUGAUACUGGAUGGCUUGAGGUUGGGAGAGGGAUGCGGAAUUCCAGGUGUAGCGGUGAAAUGCGUAGAUAUCUGGAGGAACACCGAUGGCGAAGGCAGCCUCCUGGGCCAGCACUGACGCUCAUGCACGAAAGCGUGGGGAGCAAACAGG